AUCAACUGCAGCGAAGGAUCGCUGCAGGAUCAAGGAUGAUCGACCGUUUGCCAGGAAUGGCUGCCGACAGGAUGUUGGACGGUGUUGCACAAACCCGCUUCGGCGGGUUUUUU
rnacentral:sRNA from 1 species